rnacentral:rRNA from 1 species
UACGUAGGGCGCAAGCGUUAUCCGGAAUUAUUGGGCGUAAAGAGCUCGUAGGCGGUUUGUCGCGUCUGCCGUGAAAGUCCGGGGCUCAACUCCGGAUCUGCGGUGGGUACGGGCAGACUAGAGUGCAGUAGGGGAGACUGGAAUUCCUGGUGUAGCGGUGAAAUGCGCAGAUAUCAGGAGGAACACCGAUGGCGAAGGCAGGUCUCUGGGCCACUACUGACGCUGAGAAGCGAAAGCAUGGGGGAGCGAACAGG